rnacentral:snRNA from 1 species
AGCUUUGUGUAGUGGCAGUAUCGUAGCCAAUGAGGUUUAUCCAAGGUGCAAUUAUGGCUAAUUGAAAAUAUUUUUACCAGGCCCCAAAGAAAUCUUGUACCCAUAAACAAUCACUCCCCAUCCCUCCCACAGACACUUAUUGGCAUGCAGAGUUUUUAGCUCCAUAUCCAAACAACAUG